GCUUCCGGUGUGAGCGGCCCGGCCGGGGGGGCAAGAUGGCGGCGGCAGUAGGGGUUCGUGGCCGGUACGAGCUGCCGCCUUGCUCCGGCCCAGGCUGGCUCCUCAGCCUUUCCGCCUUGCUGAGUGUGGCGGCACGAGGGGCCUUCGCCACCACGCACUGGGUCGUCACGGAGGACGGGAAAAUCCAGCAGCAGGUGGAUUCACCAAUGAACUUGAAGCAUCCUCAUGACCUAGUCAUAUUAAUGAGACAAGAAGCAACAGUUAACUACCUCAAAGAAUUAGAGAAACAAUUAGUUGCUCAAAAAAUUCACAUAGAAGAGAAUGAGGACAGAGACACAGGACUGGAACAGAGACAUAAUAAAGAAGACCCAGACUGCAUCAAAGCCAAGGUGCCCUUAGGGGACCUGGAUCUAUAUGAUGGCACAUACAUAACUUUGGAGAGCAAAGACAUCAGUCCUGAAGAUUAUAUAGACACAGAAUCUCCUGUCCCUCCAGACCCAGAGCAACCUGAUUGUACUAAAAUUCUAGAACUUCCAUAUAGUAUACAUGCUUUUCAGCACUUGAGAGGUGUACAGGAGAGAGUUAAUCUUUCUGCACCUCUGCUACCUAAAGAAGACCCAAUCUUCACAUAUUUAUCUAAACGGUUAGGAAGGAGUAUAGAUGACAUAGGUCACCUCAUUCAUGAAGGCCUACAGAAGAACACUUCCUCGUGGGUACUGUAUAACAUGGCUUCAUUUUACUGGAGAAUUAAGAAUGAGCCAUAUCAGGUAGUAGAAUGUGCCAUGCGAGCACUUCACUUCUCUUCCAGGCACAAUAAAGACAUUGCCCUGGUCAACCUGGCAAACGUUCUACACAGAGCACACUUCUCUGCUGAUGCUGCUGUCGUGGUCCAUGCAGCUCUGGAUGACAGUGACUUCUUCACCAGCUAUUACACUUUGGGGAAUAUAUAUGCAAUGCUUGGGGAAUAUAACCACUCAGUGCUCUGUUAUGACCACGCUUUGCAGGCCAGACCUGGGUUUGAGCAAGCUAUAAAGAGGAAGCAUGCUGUCCUAUGUCAGCAAAAACUGGAGCAGAAAUUGGAGGCUCAGCAUAGAUCUCUCCAGCGAACACUGAAUGAGUUAAAAGAGUAUCAAAAGCAGCAUGACCACUACCUGAGACAGCAGGAAAUCCUAGAAAAACAUAAACUGAUUCAGGAGGAGCAAAUCUUAAGAAAUAUCAUUCAUGAGACUCAGAUGGCAAAAGAGGCACAAUUAGGAAAUCAUCAGAUAUGCCGACUGGUCAACCAGCAGCAUAGUUUACAUUGCCAGUGGGACCAGCCUGUACGCUAUCAUCGUGGAGAUAUCUUUGAAAAUGUGGACUAUGUUCAGUUUGGUGAGGAUUCAUCAACCUCCAGUAUGAUGUCUGUGAACUUUGAUGUUCAAUCAAAUCAGAGUGAUAUCAAUGAUUCGGUCAAGUCUUCUCCCGUAGCCCAUUCUAUUCUCUGGAUUUGGGGCAGGGACUCUGAUGCAUAUAGGGACAAACAGCAUAUUCUAUGGCCUAAAAGAGCAGAUUGUACAGAAAGCUACCCUAGAGUCCCUGUUGGUGGGGAAUUGCCAACGUAUUUUCUGCCUCCGGAAAACAAAGGACUCAGGAUCCACGAACUCAGCAGUGAUGAUUAUUCUACAGAAGAAGAGGCCCAAACCCCUGACUGUUCCAUAACUGACUUCAGAAAAAGCCACACUCUGUCCUACUUAGUCAAAGAAUUAGAGGUUCGCAUGGAUCUGAAAGCCAAAAUGCCAGAUGACCAUGCACGAAAAAUUUUGCUUUCCCGUAUUAAUAACUAUACUAUCCCAGAAGAAGAAAUUGGGUCUUUCUUAUUUCAUGCUAUUAAUAAGCCAAAUGCUCCUAUCUGGCUCAUACUCAAUGAAGCUGGACUAUACUGGAGAGCAGUAGGAAAUAGCACUUUUGCUAUUGCCUGUCUUCAGAGGGCUUUGAAUUUAGCUCCACUUCAAUACCAAGAUGUUCCUCUUGUCAACUUGGCCAACCUUUUGAUUCAUUACGGCCUUCAUCUUGAUGCCACUAAGCUGCUACUUCAAGCUUUGGCCAUCAAUAGCUCUGAGCCUCUGACCUUUUUGAGCCUGGGAAAUGCUUACCUUGCUCUGAAGAAUAUCAGUGGGGCACUUGAGGCCUUUAGACAGGCCUUGAAAUUAACCACCAAAUGUCCAGAGUGUGAAAACAGCCUGAAGUUGAUCCGCUGUAUGCAGUUUUAUCCUUUUCUGUACAACAUCACUUCUUCUGUUUGCAGUGGUAAUUGUCAUGAGAAAACCCUGGACAACAGCCAUGACAAACAGAAAUAUUUUGACAACUCACAGUCACUGGAUGCUGCUGAAGAAGAGCCCUCUGAGAGAGGAACAGAGGAGGACCCUGUAUUCUCUGUUGAGAAUUCAGGGAGGGACUCAGAUGCCCUUAGACUUGAAAGUACGGUGGUUGAGGAGAGCAAUGGUUCUGAUGAGAUGGAGAAUUCAGAUGAAACCAAAAUGUCAGAAGAAAUACUGGCUUUGGUGGAUGAAUUUCAACAGGCAUGGCCUUUGGAAGGCUUUGGGGGUGCACUAGAGAUGAAAGGGCGGCGUCUAGACUUACAAGGAAUACGGGUGCUGAAGAAAGGUCCCCAGGAUGGAGUGGCCAGAAGCUCUUGCUAUGGAGACUGCAGAAGUGAAGAUGAUGAAGCAACAGAAUGGAUUACAUUCCAGGUCAAACGUGUAAAGAAACCCAAAGGAGAUCAUAAGAAAACUCCUGGGAAAAAAGUAGAAACAGGUCAGAUAGAAAAUGGACAUCGUUACCAAGCAAACCUAGAGAUCACUGGCCCCAAGGUGGCAUCUCCUGGGCCACAAGGGCUACUAGACUGGAAGACCAGGAAAGUGCCAUAGACAUAAUGUAACUGGAUUUCAGCAAGGCAUUUAACAGAGCCUCUUAUGAUAUCCUUGUGAACCAGAUGGAGAGAUGUGGGCUUGAAGCCUUCCCAUUGCCUACAGGAUAAAAUUCAAACUUCCUAGUGUGGUGUACAAGACCCUUUACAGCCCGCCUCUGUGUACCCUUCAACACCAUUCUCUGAACCAACCAUGCUCAUGUUUUUACCUCAGUGCCUUUGCACAUGCUAUUCCCUCUGCCUGGAAUGCCCUGUGCCCCCUCUGCCCUCUGCCGUGCUAAAAUAUCACUCAUCCUUAAACUUCAAAAUCAAGUGCCAUCUCUUCCUUGUUACCUUCAGGCAGAAUUAGUUACUCUUUCCUCUGUGCAAUUGUUCUAUAUCUUCGCUCUAGCUCUUUUCCUGUUGUAUUGUAAUGAUUUGUUUAUGUUUACCUUCCUUACUAGACUGUGAGCUCAAGAGCAGGCCGUCUUAAUUAUUCCUUUCUGUACCCCUAGUGUCUUUUAUGGUUCUCAGCCCCUUAUAACAGGUGCUCAAUAAAUAUUUUUCAAAUGAAAUUAUUAAAUGUAAAAGAAAAUUAAGAUUUUUUGUGAAAAUUAUGGCUUAUUUAAGUUAUUAAUUUAAACAGAGUUAAUUUGAAACUCUUCCAAAACUGUUCCUUUCUGUUUUGUUAAAAUCUCAAUCUAAACCCCUGCCUGUACCUCAAACAGUUUUCUACUGUUCGUAAAUUCCUAUAAUAUAAAAAGCGCUAUACAGAACUAAAGUUCUCCUUCCUGCCUAUUCCAUUAUAACUCCUUCAGAAAACCCUUCCCAGACAAGACAGUUCUGCUCUUUUCUUGGGGAUUUGAUGUAAGUAAAGGGCCCACACCCAAAAGGUGGUACUUACGAAGGAUAUUAAUAAACAGAGCUUUAAAUUUUUUUGUAGCUUUAAAUAGCUUGUUGAUUGGGAACAUACACGUUAGAGUCAAACAGACUCCUAGCUCUGCCAGUUGCUAGCCAGGUGACCUGGACAAGUCACUUAGUCUCUCUGAGUCUCUGUUUUCUCAUCUGAGAAAUGAGGGUUAAAACCUACUUCAGGCCAGAUGCAGUGGCUCACAUCUGUAAUCCCAGCACUUUGGGAGGCCAGGGUGGGAGGAUCACUUGAGUCCAGGAGGUUAAGGCUCCAGAAAGCUAGUAUCAUGCCACGGCACUCUAGCCUGGGCAAGAAAGCAAGGUGCUGUCUCUAACUUAAAAAAAGAAAAAUGGAAAAAACUUAACCACAUGAGGUUAAAAAAAGAAAAAUGGAAAAAACUUAACCACAUGAGGUUAAGGAUGUAAAGCACUUAGCAUGGGAUCUGAAUACACAGGAAGUGCUCUUCAAAUAGUUGAUAACCAGGCUGGUUCUUGGACUGUGGUGGUGUGGUGGGGGCUGGGAGGAGAUGAUAAUCUUUCAUUAACAUCAUUACUCCCUGCUGCUCUUCUUUAUAGUAGUGGUUCUCUCUACUGGGUGUGGACAUUUGGCAAUAUCUGGAGACAUUUUUGUUGUUAUAUCUGGGGAACAGUGCUACCACCAUCCAGUGGGUGAAGGCCAAAGAUGAUGCUAAACACCCUCCAAUGCACAGGACAGGUCCCUCAAAAAAUUAUCCAGCCCAAAAUGCCAAUAAUACCAGGUUGAGAAACCCUGCUUUAGAGAUAAAUGUUUCUACUAAGUUGGAGUUGUCUUUAUAAAAUCAAAAUACAGAGGGGCAAAAAUUAAGUUUGGUAAGAAUGUUAACAUUGAAGAAUGCCUUAACCCCUUAUUUCAUGUUGAUCAAUCUUAAAUCUAGCAAAGGACUCAUUUAUUCUUACUUCUCCACCUAUCUUUACUCAGAGAUGAUCUUUAGUUCCAUUGCAUAAUGACGAGAUUUUAAUUAGAUCAUAGAUGGGGGAAAUGUUAAAGACUACAGGAAUGACUAGCACCUCCAAAUACACCAAUCCAGGUGAAGUAAUCACCAGGGCAUAAGGCCCUUUGGGUUCUCUUCCUUUGCAAUUGUGUGGAUUCAUGGCAUACUUUCCUUCCAGGAAAAAAACGUGACUACCAGCGUCUGGGAUGGCCCAGCCCGGACGAAUGCCUCAAACUCCGCUGGGUAGAGCUGACUGCCAUCGUGAGUACCUGGCUUGCAGUUUCUUCAAAAAACAUUGACAUCACAGAACACAUAGAUUUUGCCACCCCUAUACAGCAGCCAGCAAUGGAGCCUCUUUGCAAUGGCAAUCUCCCCACGAGUAUGCAUACCCUGGACCACUUGCAUGGGGUUUCCAACCGAGCCAGCCUGCACUACACAGGGGAGAGUCAGUUAACAGAGGUAUUACAAAAUCUCGGCAAAGACCAAUAUCCACAACAGUCGCUUGAACAGAUUGGCACCCGAAUUGCCAAAGUUUUGGAAAAGAACCAGACGUCCUGGGUCCUCUCCAGCAUGGCAGCCCUCUACUGGAGGGUGAAAGGCCAAGGAAAGAAGGCAAUCGACUGCCUCCGCCAGGCUCUGCACUAUGCGCCACACCAGAUGAAGGAUGUGCCCCUGAUUAGCCUGGCCAACAUCUUGCACAAUGCCAAGCUCUGGAAUGACGCCGUCAUAGUAGCCACCAUGGCAGUAGAGAUCGCACCACACUUUGCUGUGAACCACUUCACUCUGGGCAAUGUCUACGUGGCAAUGGAAGAAUUUGAAAAAGCACUGGUGUGGUAUGAAUCCACAUUGAAGCUUCAGCCCGAGUUUGUCCCAGCCAAGAACCGAAUCCAGACCAUCCAGUGUCACUUAAUGCUGAAGAAGGGACGGCGCUCUCCUUAGUGCACUUCUUCCUUCUCUCUUUCUCUUUACUCAUGCUCUAAAAAAAAAGAAUAAGAAAAGAAACCAAUCAUUGUCAGUAUCUACUAUUAAUGAUGUGUGUGAAAAUAACUAAGACUUAUAACAGGACUUUUACAUAUGUGGGAAUUGGUUUGUUUUUGUUUUUACGUUUCUCCUUUCCCCCAACCAACCUCAGAAGAGGCACCUUCAGAAACACACAUUUCUUAAAAGGAAAGUGCAGCUUCAAGAUAUUGUGUAAAUACUGAGCCAAGACAUUUCUGGAGCUGUGCUCUGUCUCCAAAAACCUCAAUGCCUUUAGGGCUUUUCUCAGUGGUCCAGCUAGCCUUCUCUUUGGAGGAGGAUGAAGCCGCAUUGCACAUUCUCUGCUUCCUGUCGUAGCCUCUGUUGUCAAUGGAAAUGCGGAAGCCCAUCUGGUGCCCGUCAGUGAGAAGCAACGUUCUGCGCUCUCUCCGUUAGACCUCCAUGCUGUCCCCAGUCUUGUCCAUUCCAUGCUGCUGUGUUACAAACUCUCAGAGGUAGUUUGCAGGGGAGGAAGGGGAAUAUGAUUUUAAAAACAAAAUAUUUACAACAACAAAAAUUCUUAGGAUCACCUGACCUUUGUAAUGUUAUUUAUGUUGGGGAGGGAGGGGGGCUGAGAAGGGGAAAUCAGCAGUGUGCAACAUCUUUAUAAUUUGUACUUUAAUUACAAAUCACAAGGAAACCAAUAAGUUGAAAUCCUAUAUAACAGGUUUAUAUAUAUAGAAUAUGUAUAUUUGAAGCCCUCUACAGACUGAGUCUAUGUUUUACUAAUUCUUUGUUCACUGUGUUACCCAUCUUGGAAUAAGUUGUGAAUGUCAGCUCCCUCUCUCUGAGGCCUCCAGACUUAGCUCCUCAGGAGGGUAAUGAGCCAAGGUUGAGUGUUUCCAUACAAUGCUUUUACCUUUGAUCCCAGGAGAAUCAGAAACUCCAACAUUUUGGAAUCUUCAAGGGCACAUACUGAGAAAAAAAAUAAAAUUGUUUAUGAGCAAAA